AUUGAACGCUGGCGGAAUGCUUUACACAUGCAAGUCGAGCGGCAGCACGGGGGCAACCCUGGUGGCGAGCGGCGAACGGGUGAGUAACACAUCGGAACAUGCCCAGUCGUGGGGGAUAACACUUCGAAAGAAGUGCUAAUACCGCAUACGUCCUGAGGGAGAAAGCGGGGGAUCGCAAGACCUCGCGCGAUUGGAGUGGCCGAUGUCAGAUUAGCUAGUUGGUGGGGUAAAGGCCUACCAAGGCAACGAUCUGUAGCUGGUCUGAGAGGAUGAUCAGCCAACCUGGGACUGAGACACGGCCCAGACUCCUACGGGAGGGAGCAGUGGGGAAUUUUGGACAAUGGGGGCAACCCUGAUCCAGCCAUUCCGCGUGAGUGAAGAAGGCCUUCGGGUUGUAAAGCUCUUUCGGCAGGAACGAAACGGUGAGCUCUAACAUAGCUUGCUAAUGACGGUACCUGAAGAAGAAGCACCGGCUAACUACGUG
rnacentral:rRNA from 1 species